rnacentral:tRNA from 1 species
GCCUCCAUAGUUCAACGGAUAGAACGCAACCUUGCGGAGGUUGAAAUCGAGGUUCGAAUCCUCGUGGAGGCA